CCCGCUAAUGGAACAGGGAUCGAUGUCAUCUCGGCCGCUAUAACUGAUAUGACGGCCGCGGCAUCCUCAUCUCUUGUCGUCUGUACUCCAACCGAUGGCACUUGGAUAGGAGGAAGCAUUAUCGAAGCCAACAACACUAUGACCGGCUCAAUGCUGGGAGCUAUCACCAACGAAAUGUAGGGCUCUCUCAUCGAUACCAACUCCGAAUCAACCUGAAUCUUCUUUGUCAUUCAGGAUGAUCCAAAGCCAGUCAUUGCU
rnacentral:lncRNA from 1 species